UUUUUAUGAGAGUUUGAUCCUGGCUCAGGACGAACGCUGGCGGCGUGCCUAAUACAUGCAAGUCGUACGCUUCUUUUUCCA
rnacentral:rRNA from 1 species